CGCACCUUGCGCUCCUUGGUAUUCCGAGGAGCAUGCCUGUUUGAGUGUCAUUAAAUUCUCAACUAUACAAGUUUGUAUAAAUUUGUAUGGCUUGGAUCUGGAACUUUUGCUGGCUUUGUUUAGAAGUCGGCUGUUCUGAAAUACAUUAGCAAAGCUUUUUGUUGCUUAUCCUUGGUGUGAUAACUAUCUACGCCAUUGCAAUGCUUCAAUCCUGAAGGCUUGGCUUACAAUCGUCCCUUAAGGGACAAUUUUUGACAAUCUGACCUCAAAUCAGGUAGGACUACCCGCUGAACUUAA
rnacentral:misc_RNA from 1 species